rnacentral:rRNA from 1 species
GGGUCAGUAGGUUGGUCGUGCCACCGGUACGUACUGGUCUCACUGAUUCCUCCUUCCUGAAGAACCGUAAUGCCAUUAAUUUGGUGUUGCGGGGAGACAGGACUGUUACUUUGGAAAAAUUAGAGUGUUUAAAGCAAGCUAACGCUUGAAUACAUUAGCAUGGAAUAAUGAAAUAGGACGAUCGAUCCUAUUUUGUUGGUUUCUAGGAUUGACGUA